GAUGAUCGAUUAAGAGAACCUCUGCAAAAACUGAAACUGGCUGUUAGCAAUGUUAUGCCUGAACAGCUAUUUAAAUACCAGGAAGACUGCCAGGCUCGUAGUCAAGCAAAGUGUGCCAAGUUGCAAACAGAUGAAGAACGAGAAAAAAAUGGAUCCGAGGAAGAUGAUGAGGAGAGACCAGGGAAACGUGUUAUAGGACCAAGAAAGAAAUUUCACUGGGAUGACACUAUUAGAACUUUGUUAUGUAACCUUGUUGAGAUCAAGUUGGGAUGUUAUGAGUUAGAGCCAAAUAAAAGCCAGUCUGCUGAGGAUUAUCUCAAAUCCUUCAUGGAAACAGAGGUGAAGCCAUUGUGGCCUAAGGGCUGGAUGCAGGCACGAAUGCUUUUUAAGGAAAGCCGGAGUGUACAUAACCAUCUUACUUCUGCUCCGGCAAAGAAAAAGGUGAUUCCUGCACCCAAACCCAAAGUGAAGGAGGUGAUGGUAAAGACCCUUCCUCUCCACUCUUUCCCCACUAUGCUUAAGGAGUGUAGUCCAAAAAAGGACCCAAAAGCUCCUGCAUCCUUGGUGGCUUCAGUUGGUGGUCCUUCUGCAAGCUCCAGCACAUCUGUCGUUGCCUCAGCCAGCUCCAGCUCCAUAGCAGCCCGAGAAACCAUCUGCCUUGACGACUCACUGGAUGAAGACCUUUCUUUCCACUCACCUUCCCUGGAUCUUGUCUCUGAAGCUUUAGCUGUCAUCAACAAUGGGAACAAGGGCCCUACAGUUGGUUCAAGGAUAAGCAUGUCAACUACAAAACCUCGUCCAGGACUGAGAGAAGAAAAAUUAGCGAGUAUCAUGAGUAAGCUGCCACUGGCUACUCCCAAAAAACUAGAUUCUACUCAGACUGCACAUUCAUCAAGUCUUAUUGCUGGUCACACAGGGCCAGUACCAAAGAAACCCCAGGAUUUAGCUCAUACUGGCAUUUCUUCAGGCCUUAUUGCUGGUUCUUCAAUUCAGAACCCUAAAGUUUCCUUAGAACCUUUGCCAGCCAGGCUACUUCAACAAGGACUGCAAAGGUCAAGCCAGAUUCAUGCUUCUUCCUCUUCACAGACUCAUGUCUCCUCUUCUUCCCAAGCCCAGGUUGCUGCCUCCUCUCAUGCUCUGGGAACAUCAGAGACCCAAGAUGCUUCUUCAUUAACACAAGUAACAAAGGUGCACCAGCAUUCAGCUGUCCAACAGAACUAUGUGUCUCCAUUACAAGCAACUAUUAGUAAAUCACAGACCAACCCGGUGGUGAAAUUAAGUAAUAACCCUCAACUUUCCUGUUCAUCCCCACUACUUAAGAAUUCAGAUAAGCCACUUAUGUACCGCCUCCCUUUAUCCACCCCCUCACCUGGAAAUGGUUCUCAGGGGUCCCACCCCCUGAUUUCUAGGACAGCACCGAGCACCACUACCUCUAGUAACUAUUUAGCCAAGGCUAUGGUGUCACAAAUCUCCACGCAGGGUUUCAAAUCUCCCUUCUCAAUGGCUGCAUCCCCAAAACUUGCCGCAUCUCCGAAACCUGCCACAUCUCCCAAACCCUUACCCUCACCUAAGCCUUCUGCCUCACCCAAGCCCUCUCUGUCAGCUAAGCCUUCAGUAUCAACUAAACUGAUUUCUAAAUCCAACCCAGCUCCCAAGCCUACUGUAUGCCCAAGUUCUUCCAGUCCAAAUGCACUAGUAGCCCAGAGUAGCCACUCCACCAGUAACAACCCAGUCCAUAAACAACCCAGUGGAAUGAACAUCAGCAGACAGUCUCCCACCUUGAAUUUAUUGCCCUCCCAUCGUACUUCAGGCCUUCCAUCUACAAAAAAUCUUCAGGCCCCUUCAAAGCUAGCAAACUCGUCAUCCACUGGAACCGUUGGGAAGAAUAGCUUGAGUGGAAUUGCAAUGAAUGUACCUGCCAGCAGAGGUAGCAACCUUAACUCAAGCGGACCGAAUAGGACUAGUCUAUCUGGGGGCACAGGAAGUGGAACACAGGGUGCUACUAAAUCGUUGUCUACUCCACAUAGACCAUCCUCUGCCUCAGGGUCUUCAGUGGUAACAGCCAGUGUGCAGUCCACAGCAGGAGCAUCAUUAUUGGCUAAUGCCUCACCUCUGACUCUCAUGACAUCACCUUUGUCUGUAACAAAUCAAAAUGUGACUCCUUUUGGGAUGCUGGGUGGCCUUGUUCCAGUGACCAUGCCCUUCCAGUUUCCCUUGGAGCUACUUGGCUUUGGAACGGACACAGCUGGAGUGACAAGCACCUCAGGAUCUACCUCAGCCGCUUUCCACCACAGCCUAACUCAGAAUUUACUAAAGGGUUUACAGCCAGGAGCUCAGCACUCAGCAACACUUUCCCACUCACCUCUGCCCACACAUUUACAGCAGACGUUUAAUGAUGGAGGCCAAAGUAAAGGGGACACUAAGUUACCACGGAAAUCUCAGUGACUUCCCGGCAAGCAGAGAUGACGUAUUUAGCUGACUGAUGGGAUCUACCUGACGGGAAAGUCCUCACGUGGUCUCGGGGCUGCUGUUUCUGUCGAUGUUUACAUUCUCGUCCCAAGCACUGUGACAUCCUCAAGUACAGACUAAUAAGUCAGGGGAUUCAGAAGGAAGAAUCUCAAACUUGCCAACGUCAUAUCAUGCUGUAAUACUCUUCUUUGUGCAUCUAUGGAUAUGUGUGUAAAAUACAUGCACAUGUAUAAAGCUAGUAGCUGCUGUACCACUGUAUCCUUUCUAAACACUCCCCUCUCAACAUUUGCAAAACUUCUGCCUUGUUUUUAGUUGACUAAAAUGAGCAAAUUGGGAAAGUCUUUUUACAAUAUGCUACCUUCCUCCUUUGAAUAUCUAUAGAAGUUACAAAUAUAUGUAGGUUGUAAAAUAAAUUUAGUAGACUCAGUGACCAUCCCUGGAUGUAACCUACUGCCUUGUGACCUUCAAACUUGGCAGAAAGUAAGAUAGGAGAAAGCGUUGGAAUAACAGGAGUAUCUUUUGGGUUAAGUUGAUAAAGGUGCACUGGGGCAGACAAGACUAAACAUGCGUGGAGGGCUACUGGAGUCAUGGGGUGGCAUCUGAAUACAUUUAAGGAAGUCAGCAACUGUCAGCAUUCAAAAUGUAUUUCCUUCUAGAAAAUGAUUUCUUAAGAAAUCAUGGAGCUGCAUAUCUGUUACAACAUAAUUAAACUUAAAAGUAGAAAGACUUAAGAUACUGAGGAAAACACUCAUAUAAUCUAUAGCAUACUUCAGAGAUUUUCAGUUCUGUUUUUGUUUGCCAGAUAAUUACAUUUGACUUGAUCGAAUUUUAUGGUUGAGCAAGAUAACACAAUUUUAAUUAUCUAAAGAUUCAUCUGUUUUUUGUUGAAACAAAUAGAAAUGUGACAUGUUAAGGGAGACUAAGUUGACCUAAUACAAAAACAGUACAAAUGUAUCUACUAAGUGCCCCCUUUUAAGUAAAAAUUUAAUUGAGAAGACUAGUGGCUAAAAGGAGAUAGCAGAGGCUCCUGGUAGCAAAACUGUGUCAGGCAACUGGUGUUCAGUAGUAAGUAUUAAUUCCUGAAUUACUAUGUCUAGGGGGAAUAUCAUUUAACCUUUGUGCCUCACAUUACCCAUUAGUCAAUUGGGUAUAAUAAUAUUCACCUACCUCCCAGGGAUAUCAGAGACUAUACUAUUUCAAAAAUAUUUUGAGUUUUUCUAAAAUAUCCUAUAUAAUUAAAAAUAUUAUCAUCUUCUUGCAGAGGCUGAAAAAUGUUUUCCUUGUGAUGGAUAUAAAGAGCACCCUACAGUUUUUAAGUUUUAAGAAAAUAUCACUGGAAUUCUAAUUUAGAUACAUAUUUGUUAUUUAAACAUACUAUAUUUGCAGUGGGAUAAAAUGGUUAGUUUCAGAUUAACAAAGCAGGGGGCGGGGGGGGGAGAAUGACACUAAGUUUCUCAACUAUAAAUAGAUUUUUAAAAGCUUUUAUGGUGUUACUACUUGUGUGUGAAGUUUGCAAAGGUUGUGGAACUGAGUUUAGAUGAAGUUUGGGUGAUUAGUCAUUGGAGCUGAUAAAUUAUCCUUAAAGUUUUAUCUGCCUCCUUUUUCCAUCUUCUCCAUCUAACUUGCUUAUAUUACUUGAUUGGUGAUGAAUGACUAAGUUUUAACUUGCUGAGAAUGAGUGAGAGUCUUCUGAUUCUUGGAAGUCAAACGCUGCAGGCUAUUCCUGUAACUUAGGUGUGUCCAGCUCUUGGCUAAAGGGGCAGGCAGCACAUACGGCAGCUGUGCACUAUGAGCCUGUCUUCCUUUGUAUUUCGUGCUUCUUCAGCUCAUGUAGGAGGUGAAGCCCUCAGCUGCUCAGGAUGUAGGAAAAUAGGAGAGAGAGGCAGGAUUCACUUCCUAGCUGAGGCAGGGGUGGGGAUGGUCAGGGUAGAAGGAAGCAUGGUUUUCCCAACUCCCUGGAGGAAAUGAAGAUCAUUUUCUCCUUGUCCAUCCCUGCAUACUAAGCAGUAAUACAUAGAAUUUCCCUUUUAGCACUUAAAACAACAGCAACAGGAAAAAUGGAUGCUGCAUUUUUAGUUAGGCUAAAAGUUGGGGUAUGGAUGCGUGUAGGGGUGUGUAUUUAAAUUGUACCACCUAUUCAGGAUAAAAAAAAAACCUGCAGGGAUCAGCAGUGAUUUCCCGCUCACUGACUUGGGAGAAAGCACCAGGCCUAAGCAGUCAAAACAUCUGGUUAAUCCCAGAGUUCAUCAAAACAUCUGGGUUAAUUCCAGAAUUGGCUAAGACCCAGUUAAUGUCUAGUAAUAUCAUUGAGGGUGGGGGGAGGUUGAAAAAUCACUUUUUGGAUUUUUGUUGCUUUUUCCAGGAAGGGCCUUAGUUAAUAGACUGUAAGUAUCAACUAUGCAGAUAAACGUAGUCUUUAUUUUCCAUGUUUCCCUCUUUUUCCAUUCUUCAAAUGACAAAUGUUAAGACAUCUACCCAAAGAAAUAAGACAUAAGGGUUUUGUUGAAUGUGUGUGUGUUCCUCGGGGGGGGAUUUAACAGAAGCAUAAAAUAUUUUGUGUGUUCAUCUAUCCUAAAAUGUGAACUUUAUAUUAAAAAACUAACUAGAUGUCUUUGCAUAGCUAUAGUUAGUGUCAUGGAGUGUUGUGAUAAAAAAUCAUCCCACUGUUGAAUUCUAAGAAGUUUUAGGUUCUGUGACACAGUGUUCAGGUAUAUAGAACUGAACAAGUGGUCAGACUCUAAUUUAAAAUAGCUUUGAAUAUUAAUGUUGAAUUCUUUCUUCAUUUCCCUUAGUUUUUAUUCUUUCCUUUGGCUGGAGCUCAAAGUUAACCAUGUCAUCAACUGUUUGCUCCACUACAGUGUAAGUUGCAUGUUAGGAACCCAGGGAGGGAAGGUUAAACUGUCUUCUUAACUCGCUUUGGCAAUCUGUCCUGUGUUCCAGUCACACUCAGAUGAAAAGCUUACAGUGCAAGAGACUGUUUAUUUCCCAGCUGAGGGUGCAGGCUGAAACUCUCAGUUUAGUAAGAAUGAUAUUAAAUUAUAUUUUCCUCAUAUACUCUCAAAGCACCAUUUGCUUGAAAGUAGCUAUUUGUGAUCUUUAUUUAAUUUCCUCGUAUUGUAAUAUUUCUACUUGCGUCUGUCCUGUGUAUUUCCAUUUCAUAGUGAGUUAGUAUCUGAACUCUGGACACUUUUUCAGACUGUAUCCCAGAUAGGUCAUGAUUGCUUUUUGAAAUGCUGAUGGUGUAAUUGUCUGUGCACCCAGAAUUGGAGUUGAUGAUGACUGGGAUUUUUUUCUCUUUUUCUUUUGUAUUGAAAAAUAGUUUUUAGCCGGUUGUGGUGGCACACGCCGGUAAUCAACGAGGCGAAGAGGAUGAGGGAGGAGGCCAGCCUGGGCUACACUAAAAAAAAAAAAAAAAAAAA